rnacentral:misc_RNA from 1 species
GAUGAAGAACGCAGCGAAAUGCGAUAAGUAAUGUGAAUUGCAGAAUUCAGUGAAUCAUCGAAUCUUUGAACGCACAUUGCGCCCGCCAGUAUUCUGGCGGGCAUGCCUGUCUGAGCGUCAUUUCAACCCUCAUGCCCCUAGGGCGUGGUGUUGGGGAUCGGCCAAAGCCCGCGAGGGACGGCCGGCCCCUAAAUCUAGUGGCGGACCCGUCGUGGCCUCCUCUGCGAAGUAGUGAUAUUCCGCAUCGGAGAGCUAUGAGCCCCUGCCGUUAAACCCCCAACUUUCCAAGGUUGACCUCAGAUCAGGUAGGAAUACCCGCUGAACUUAAGCAUAUCAAUAAGCGGAGGA